rnacentral:rRNA from 1 species
AACGAACGCUGGCGGCAUGCCUAACACAUGCAAGUCGAACGGGAUCCUAGCUUGCUAGGUGAGAGUGGCGGACGGGUGAGUAACACGUGGGAAUCUGCCUUUUGGUUCGGGAUAACCGCGGGAAACUGCGGCUAAUACCGAAUGCCCUCGAGAGAGGAAAGAUUUAUCGCCAGAAGAGGAGCCCGCGUCCGAUUAGGUAGUUGGUGGGUAAAGGCCUACCAAGCCGACGAUCGGUAGCUGGUCUGAGAGGAUGAUCAGCCACACUGGGACUGAGAUACGGCCCAGACUCCUACGGGAGGCAGCAGUGGGGAAUAUUGGACAAUGGGGCGAACCCUCGAUCCAGCAAUGCCGCGUGAGUGAUGAAGG